CACGCCGUAAACGAUGAUUACUCGCUGUUGGCGAUACACUGUCAGCGGCUAAGCAAAAGCAAUAAGUAAUCCACCUGGGGAGUACGGCCGCAAGGUUGAAACUCAAAGGAAUUGACGGGGGCCCGCACAAGCGGAGGAACAUGUGGUUUAAUUCGAUGAUACGCGAGGAACCUUACCUGGGCUUAAAUGUAGAGUGCAUUUUCUAGAGAUAGAAAUUCCCUUCGGGGCUUUC
rnacentral:rRNA from 1 species